rnacentral:rRNA from 3 species
UUAAAUUGAAGAGUUUGAUCAUGGCUCAGAUUGAACGCUGGCGGCAGGCCUAACACAUGCAAGUCGAACGGUAACAGGAAGCAGCUUGCUGCUUCGCUGACGAGUGGCGGACGGGUGAGUAAUGUCUGGGAAACUGCCUGAUGGAGGGGGAUAACUACUGGAAACGGUGGCUAAUACCGCAUAACGUCGCAAGACCAAAGAGGGGGACCUUCGGGCCUCUUGCCAUCAGAUGUGCCCAGAUGGGAUUAGCUUGUUGGUGAGGUAACGGCUCACCAAGGCGACGAUCCCUAGCUGGUCUGAGAGGAUGACCAGCCACACUGGAACUGAGACACGGUCCAGACUCCUACGGGAGGCAGCAGUGGGGAAUAUUGCACAAUGGGCGCAAGCCUGAUGCAGCCAUGCCGCGUGUAUGAAGAAGGCCUUCGGGUUGUAAAGUACUUUCAGCGGGGAGGAAGGUGUUGUGGUUAAUAACCGCAGCAAUUGACGUUACCCGCAGAAGAAGCACCGGCUAACUCCGUGCCAGCAGCCGCGGUAAUACGGAGGGUGCAAGCGUUAAUCGGAAUUACUGGGCGUAAAGCGCACGCAGGCGGUCUGUCAAGUCGGAUGUGAAAUCCCCGGGCUCAACCUGGGAACUGCAUUCGAAACUGGCAGGCUUGAGUCUUGUAGAGGGGGGUAGAAUUCCAGGUGUAGCGGUGAAAUGCGUAGAGAUCUGGAGGAAUACCGGUGGCGAAGGCGGCCCCCUGGACAAAGACUGACGCUCAGGUGCGAAAGCGUGGGGAGCAAACAGGAUUAGAUACCCUGGUAGUCCACGCCGUAAACGAUGUCUACUUGGAGGUUGUGCCCUUGAGGCGUGGCUUCCGGAGCUAACGCGUUAAGUAGACCGCCUGGGGAGUACGGCCGCAAGGUUAAAACUCAAAUGAAUUGACGGGGGCCCGCACAAGCGGUGGAGCAUGUGGUUUAAUUCGAUGCAACGCGAAGAACCUUACCUGGUCUUGACAUCCACAGAACUUUCCAGAGAUGGAUUGGUGCCUUCGGGAACUGUGAGACAGGUGCUGCAUGGCUGUCGUCAGCUCGUGUUGUGAAAUGUUGGGUUAAGUCCCGCAACGAGCGCAACCCUUAUCCUUUGUUGCCAGCGAUUCGGUCGGGAACUCAAAGGAGACUGCCAGUGAUAAACUGGAGGAAGGUGGGGAUGACGUCAAGUCAUCAUGGCCCUUACGACCAGGGCUACACACGUGCUACAAUGGCGCAUACAAAGAGAAGCGACCUCGCGAGAGCAAGCGGACCUCAUAAAGUGCGUCGUAGUCCGGAUUGGAGUCUGCAACUCGACUCCAUGAAGUCGGAAUCGCUAGUAAUCGUGGAUCAGAAUGCCACGGUGAAUACGUUCCCGGGCCUUGUACACACCGCCCGUCACACCAUGGGAGUGGGUUGCAAAAGAAGUAGGUAGCUUAACCUUCGGGAGGGCGCUUACCACUUUGUGAUUCAUGACUGGGGUGAAGUCGUAACAAGGUAACCGUAGGGGAACCUGCGGUUGGAUCACCUCCUUACCUUAAAGAA